rnacentral:rRNA from 1 species
UGGGGAAUUUUGGACAAUGGGCGAAAGCCUGAUCCAGCAAUGCCGCGUGUGUGAAGAAGGCCUUCGGGUUGUAAAGCACUUUUGUCCGGAAAGAAAUCCUUGGCUCUAAUACAGUCGGGGGAUGACGGUACCGGAAGAAUAAGCACCGGCUAACUACGUGCCAGCAGCCGCGGUAAUACGUAGGGUGCAAGCGUUAAUCGGAAUUACUGGGCGUAAAGCGUGCGCAGGCGGUUUGCUAAGACCGAUGUGAAAUCCCCGGGCUCAACCUGGGAACUGCAUUGGUGACUGGCAGGCUAGAGUAUGGCAGAGGGGGGUAGAAUUCCACGUGUAGCAGUGAAAUGCGUAGAGAUGUGGAGGAAUACCGAUGGCGAAGGCAGCCCCCUGGGCCAAGUACUGACGCUCAUGCACGAAAGCGUGGGGAGCAAACNGGAUUAAUACCCUGGUAGUCCACGCCCUAAANGAUGUCAACUAGUUGUUGGGGAUUCAUUUCCUUAGUAACGUAGCUAACGCGUGAAGUUGACCGCCUGGGGAGUACGGUCGCAAGAUUAAAACUCAAAUAAUUGACGGGGUC